AUCAGCUGACGGGUUCCAAAUAGGACGACAUGACGCGUGUCCUGGAU
rnacentral:hammerhead_ribozyme from 1 species